rnacentral:tRNA from 1 species
GCCCUUAUAGUUUAAUGGAUAAAACAUAAGCCUCCGGAGCUUAUAAUGCAGGUUCAAUUCCUGCUAGGGGCACCA